rnacentral:rRNA from 2 species
AACGCGAAGAACCUUACCUACUCUUGACAUCCAGAGAAUUUAGCAGAGAUGCUUUGGUGCCUUCGGGAACUUUGAGACAGGUGCUGCAUGGCUGUCGUCAGCUCGUGUUGUGAAAUGUUGGGUUAAGUCCCGCAACGAGCGCAACCCUUAUCCUUUGUUGCCAGCGAUUCGGUCGGGAACUCAAAGGAGACUGCCGGUGAUAAACCGGAGGAAGGUGGGGAUGACGUCAAGUCAUCAUGGCCCUUACGAGUAGGGCUACACACGUGCUACAAUGGCGUAUACAAAGAGAAGCGACCUCGCGAGAGCAAGCGGAACUCAUAAAGUUCGUCGUAGUCCGGAUUGGAGUCUGCAACUCGACUCCAUGAAGUCGGAAUCGCUAGUA